CAGAGUCCAACCUGUCGACUGAAGACUCUGAGAUGGAGGUUGUCUGAGUGAAGCUGAGUGUGAAGAGGACAGUGUGUGUGGACGGAGGCUGAGCUGUGUCCUGAGGAUCCAUCAAAUUUUAAAACUAACAAUUCAGUGGCACUUAAAUGUCACUUACUUAUAACACUUUGUAGUUUGGCUUUUUUGAAGAAAUUGUACUUUCUUGAUUCUUGUUGCUCUGGGUUUGUACCCUCAUGGUUGAUGCACUUUUGUGUUUAUUCACAUGAAGAAUGUGUUUAUUGAAAUGACACAACACAAGCAGAAUAUAUAACCCCUCUAUAAAGAGUCACAUAUA